rnacentral:lncRNA from 1 species
AUAAAUUCCUUACACCUAAGCAAAUUAAAAACGAUAACAAAGCUUUUGUAAUUUAUUCACAUAUGUAAACUUGCAAGGGAAAGUGUCAACUUGAUAGCCUGUGGUCCUUCACUCCGCAAAUCACUGGGGCGGACUAUUGGCAAAGUACAGAACAGCAGAAAAUCCUUAAGUCGUUAGCCGGCAGUUCAAGUGAAAAAACAUUGUUGGUAAUAUGCAAGCUAAUCAGGUGGCCGCUCAUCACCUAUUUAGCACCGUAGUUCGUAAACAUCGUGUUUGCAGUUGUCAGCUUGAAGCUAAGCCGCCUCCAAGGAGCAUUAAGAGGUCACCUAUUGUUUUUCUCAAACAGAAUACUAGAAGGCAAAUAACUUUAGUCACGCGCUGACCAGCAUGACACAGUAGAGCCAUUUACGCCUUUAUAGACUUCCUCCCGCUGAAUAGCGUACUUGGAGUUGCAACACCGUGUUGCCCAGAGAAUGUAGAGUUACCCUUGCGCAACUGCGUUUGGGACACUGUAUCACUUAUCCAGAAUUGAUCCUACAUAUAGGGAUUAUUGCACAAUGAUAACUCUAAAUUCUCUGGGCAACACUGUGGUGUAACUGCAAGUAUGUAUGUACAUUCUGUGUACAAUAGGUUCCCGUAUGACUAACCAGCUCUUUGCAUGCCCAAUCAGAAACAGAAUAUUUGCUGGGCCUACCGUUAGAAGACUUCGAUGAGAACCAACUUGAACCUUACAACCCAAGCGGUGAUUAGGUAGCCACAUCAACAGAAAAGUACCAUAUAAGUUUAUUUACCGCAGCAAGUACAUUUAUAAUCCAUUUCAGAGAUUCUUGGACCGUUGAAAGAUGUUUUACAAAAUCAAGGGAUUAGGAAAAGCUCUAUAUCAAUUCGUGAAAAGCAGUGCAUCAUCAAUUUAAUACAAUUCACUUAAAUGUUUGUCCCUAUUGGCAAUAAUAAUGUAACUUGCUGAAACACUGGAGGAGGUGUCGUUAGUGAGGCCACAGAGACUUUGAAAUUCAUGUCGGGUGCGUGCAAACAAAA